GCCCCUGUAGUUUAGCCUGGAUAUGACGUAAGAUUGCGGAUCUUAUAACCCGGGUUCGAAUCCCGGCAGGGGCG
rnacentral:tRNA from 1 species